CCCCUCUCGUCUCCUCCCCUCACCCCCCAGUGUCCCACGGUGGCAGCUCGCUCGGGGACCCACACGUCAUUAGCGGAAUGGGGGCUACUAGCAAAGUAGGGGUGUACCCCAGGGCACACAGUGACGCCCUGAGACUGUUUUAGCCAACACAAGUCAGCCACUUAGAUACCCCUCCAGGGAGAGCAGCCGUGGGCGCGCUGCAAACAUUACCUCAUUUUAAAACUCCCACGGAGAGUGGAGGAAAGUGUAUUUGCAUUAUUCCGCCCUCGAUCUCCCAUCCCCGUUGCCUGUAAUUUGCCGCACACCUUAUGGCGUCCCAUGAAUAAUACCCCUCCCAACACCGUGGCGUGCUGUGUUGUCAAGCUUGUUUGACCCUGCAAAUACUUAAAAUCUGAGAUCUGGUAUUGCUAUCAUUAUUAUUACGUCUAAUAAACACCGUGUCUGUUUAUGGAGCGGUAUAAAAGAUAACACCAGUAUAUAGAAAAUGCUGAUCCGGGGAUUUUCCCAUGAGAUCAUGAAUAAGUAAUCAGCUGGACAAUGGCUUUCUCCUCAAGGCCUAGCUUCCAAAGGAUGGUCCGUCCUGAGGUGUAGAAGAGCCAUGUUCAAGUCUCCCCUCUGAAUCACACAGAGCAGGGACUUCAGGAUGAUCUCCCACAUUCCAG